UAAUACGGAGGGUGCAAGCGUUAAUCGGAAUUACUGGGCGUAAAGCGCACGCAGGCGGUUUGUUAAGUCAGAUGUGAAAUCCCCGGGCUCAACCUGGGAACUGCAUUUGAAACUGGCAAGCUAGAGUCUCGUAGAGGGGGGUAGAAUUCCAGGUGUAGCGGUGAAAUGCGUAGAGAUCUGGAGGAAUACCGGUGGCGAAGGCGGCCCCCUGGACGAAGACUGACGCUCAGGUGCGAAAGCGUGGGGAGCAAACAGGAUUAGAUACCCUGGUAGUCCACGCUGUAAACGAUGUCGAUUUGGAGGUUGUGCCCUUGAGGCGUGGCUUCCGGAGCUAACGCGUUAAAUCGACCGCCUGGGGAGUACGGCCGCAAGGUUAAA
rnacentral:rRNA from 1 species